rnacentral:rRNA from 1 species
AUUGAACGCUGGCGGCAUGCUUUACACAUGCAAGUCGAACGGUAACAGGGAGCUUGCUCCGCUGACGAGUGGCGAACGGGUGAGUAAUGCGUCGGAACGUGCCGAGUAGUGGGGGAUAACGCAUCGAAAGGUGUGCUAAUACCGCAUACGUACUGAGGUAGAAAGUGGGGGACCUUCGGGCCUCACGCUAUUCGAGCGGCCGACGUCUGAUUAGCUAGUUGGUGAGGUAAAGGCUCACCAAGGCGACGAUCAGUAGCGGGUCUGAGAGGAUGAUCCGCCACACUGGGACUGAGACACGGCCCAGACUCCUACGGGAGGCAGCAGUGGGGAAUUUUGGACAAUGGGCGCAAGCCUGAUCCAGCCAUGCCGCGUGUCUGAAGAAGGCCUUCGGGUUGUAAAGGACUUUUGUCCGGGAGCAAAUGCCUGGUGUUAAUAGCACUGGGAGCUGAGAGUACCGGAAGAAUAAGCACCGGCUAACUACGUGCCAGCAGCCGCGGUAACAC